rnacentral:lncRNA from 1 species
AGCCAUGCAGUGCCACGCUGCCACAUUGUUGACCCUCGCUUUCACCCCACUUCCAGACAUUGACAAGUGAAGCCUUUGGAGCCUCAGUCACUCAUGACUUGCCUCCUUUGUUACCUGCCUGAUCUGCAGUCUCAUGUUGGCCCUGAUUCAUGGUGGUCAGCACUUUAGCCACUGAGCAGUACCACAAAAUGGCUGUGACCUUGAACGGACAAAGAACUCAGGAAGUGACAGUUCUGGGUGAUGAUAAGACAGCACAACCUGGUCUUGGACUAAAAAUGCAGUUUUGAUCAAGAAGAAGGAAGACUAAAGUGUGGAUACUUCAGUCCUUCUUAGAAUGGGGAACAAAAUACCCAUGGAAGGAGUUACAGAGACAAAGUUCGGAGCUAAGGCGGAAGGAAGGACAAUCCAGAGACUGCCCCACCUGGGGAUCCAUCCCAUAUACAACCACCAAGCCCAGACACUAUUGCAUAUGCCAGAAAGACUUUGCUGACAGGACCCUGAUAUAGCUCUCUCUUGUGAGGCUAUGCCAGUGCCUGGCAAAUACAGAAGUGGAUGAUCAUAGUCAUCUCUUGGAUGGAACACAGGGCCCCCAACGGAGGAGCUAGAGAAAGUACCCAAGGAGCUGAAGGGUUCUGCAACCCUAUAGGUGGAACAACAAUAUGAACUAACCAGUACACCCAGAGCUUGUGUCUCUAGCUGCACGUGUAGCAGAAGAUGGCCUAGUUGGCCAUCAAUGGGAAGAGAGGUCCCUUGGUCUUCCAAAUUUUAUAUGCCCCAGUACAGGGGAAUGCCAGGGCCAAGAAGUGGAAGUGGGUAGGUAGGGGAGCAGGGUGCGGGGAGGGUAUAGGGGACUUUUGGGAUAGCAUUUGAAAUGUAAAUGAAGAAAAUAACUAAUAAAAAAUUGGAAAAAAU